AAAUUGAAGAGUUUGAUCAUGGCUCAGAUUGAACGCUGGCGGCAGGCCUAACACAUGCAAGUCGAACGGUAACAGGAAGAAGCUUGCUUCUUUGCUGACGAGUGGCGGACGGGUGAGUAAUGUCUGGGAAACUGCCUGAUGGAGGGGGAUAACUACUGGAAACGGUAGCUAAUACCGCAUAACGUCGCAAGACCAAAGAGGGGGACCUUCGGGCCUCUUGCCAUCGGAUGUGCCCAGAUGGGAUUAGCUGUGGUGGGGUAACGGCUCACCUAGGCGACGAUCCCUAGCUGGUCUGAGAGGAUGACCAGCCACACUGGAACUGAGACACGGUCCAGACUCCUACGGGAGGCAGCAGUGGGGAAUAUUGCACAAUGGGCGCAAGCCUGAUGCAGCCAUGCCGCGUGUAUGAAGAAGGCCUUCGGGUUGUAAAGUACUUUCAGCGGGGAGGAAGGGAGUAAAGUUAAUACCUUUGCUCAUUGACGUUACCCGCAGAAGAAGCACCGGCUAACUCCGUGCCAGCAGCCGCGGUAAUACGGAGGGUGCAAGCGUUAAUCGGAAUUACUGGGCGUAAAGCGCACGCAGGCGGUUUGUUAAGUCAGAUGUGAAAUCCCCGGGCUCAACCUGGGAACUGCAUCUGAUACUGGCAAGCUUGAGUCUCGUAGAGGGGGGUAGAAUUCCAGGUGUAGCGGUGAAAUGCGUAGAGAUCUGGAGGAAUACCGGUGGCGAAGGCGGCCCCCUGGACGAAGACUGACGCUCAGGUGCGAAAGCGUGGGGAGCAAACAGGAUUAGAUACCCUGGUAGUCCACGCCGUAAACGAUGUCGACUUGGAGGUUGUGCCCUUGAGGCGUGGCUUCCGGAGCUAACGCGUUAAGUCGACCGCCUGGGGAGUACGGCCGCAAGGUUAAAACUCAAAUGAAUUGACGGGGGCCCGCACAAGCGGUGGAGCAUGUGGUUUAAUUCGAUGCAACGCGAAGAACCUUACCUGGUCUUGACAUCCACGGAAGUUUUCAGAGAUGAGAAUGUGCCUUCGGGAACCGUGAGACAGGUGCUGCAUGGCUGUCGUCAGCUCGUGUUGUGAAAUGUUGGGUUAAGUCCCGCAACGAGCGCAACCCUUAUCCUUUGUUGCCAGCGGUCCGGCCGGGAACUCAAAGGAGACUGCCAGUGAUAAACUGGAGGAAGGUGGGGAUGACGUCAAGUCAUCAUGGCCCUUACGACCAGGGCUACACACGUGCUACAAUGGCGCAUACAAAGAGAAGCGACCUCGCGAGAGCAAGCGGACCUCAUAAAGUGCGUCGUAGUCCGGAUUGGAGUCUGCAACUCGACUCCAUGAAGUCGGAAUCGCUAGUAAUCGUGGAUCAGAAUGCCACGGUGAAUACGUUCCCGGGCCUUGUACACACCGCCCGUCACACCAUGGGAGUGGGUUGCAAAAGAAGUAGGUAGCUUAACCUUCGGGAGGGCGCUUACCACUUUGUGAUUCAUGACUGGGGUGAAGUCGUAACAAGGUAACCGUAGGGGAACCUGCGGUUGGAUCACCUCCUUA
rnacentral:rRNA from 1 species